rfam:Saprolegnia parasitica CBS 223.65 unplaced genomic scaffold supercont2.34, whole genome shotgun sequence.
CCACUGGUGUUUUUCAACACCACCCAACACAUGAGGAAUGGAAUGU